AUUGAACGCUGGCGGCAUGCCUUACACAUGCAGGUCGAACGGUAACAGGUUAAGCUGACGAGUGGCGAACGGGUGAGUAAUGUAUCGGAACGUGCCCAGUCGUGGGGGAUGACUGCUCGAAAGAGCAGCUAAUACCGCAUACGACCUGAGGGUGAAAGCGGGGGAUCGCAAGACCUCGCGCGAUUGGAGCGGCCGAUAUCAGAUUAGGUAGUUGGUGAGGUAAAGGCUCACCAAGCCGACGAUCUGUAGCUGGUCUGAGAGGACGACCAGCCACACUGGGACUGAGACACGGCCCAGACUCCUACGGGAGGCAGCAGUGGGGAAUUUUGGACAAUGGGCGCAAGCCUGAUCCAGCCAUGCCGCGUGCGGGAAGAAGGCCUUCGGGUUGUAAACCGCUUUUGUCAGGGAAGAAAAGGUUCUGGCUAAUACCUGGGACUCAUGACGGUACCUGAAGAAUAAGCACCGGCUAACUACGUGCCAGCAGCCGCGGUAACAC
rnacentral:rRNA from 1 species